rnacentral:rRNA from 1 species
UGCCAGCCGCCGCGGUAAUACGGAGGGUGCAAACGUUGCUCGGAAUCAUUGGGCGUAAAGCGCACGUAGGCGGUCCAGCAAGUUGGGUGUGAAAGCCCGGGGCUCAACCCCGGAUGUGCACUCAAAACUGCUGGACUUGAGUUCCAGAGAGGGUCGGAGAAUUCCCGGUGUAGAGGUGAAAUUCGUAGAUAUCGGGAGGAAUACCAGUGGCGAAGGCGCCGGCCUGGAGGGAAACUGACGCUGAGGUGCGAUAGCGUGGGGAGCGAACAGGAUUAGAUA